GACGUAGGGCGCGAGCGUUGUCCGGAUUUAUUGGGCGUAAAGAGCUCGUAGGCGGCUUGUUGCGUCGGCUGUGAAAACCCGUGGCUUAACUGCGGGCUUGCAGCCGAUACGGGCGGGCUAGAGUUCGGUAGGGGAGUGGGGAAUUCCUGGUGUAGCGGUGAAAUGCGCAGAUAUCAGGAGGAACACCGGUGGCGAAGGCGCCACUCUGGGCCGAAACUGACGCUGAGGAGCGAAAGCGUGGGUAGCAAACAGG
rnacentral:rRNA from 1 species